rnacentral:rRNA from 1 species
UACGAAGGGGGGCUAGCGUUGCUCGGAAUCACUGGGCGUAAAGCGCACGUAGGCGGAUUGCUAAGUCAGAGGUGAAAUCCCAGAGCUCAACUCUGGAACUGCCUUUGAUACUGGGUAUCUCGAGUAUGGAAGAGGUGAGUGGAAUUCCGAGUGUAGAGGUGAAAUUCGUAGAUAUUCGGAGGAACACCAGUGGCGAAGGCGGCUCACUGGUCCAUUACUGACGCUGAGGUGCGAAAGCGUGGGGAGCAAACAGG